rnacentral:rRNA from 1 species
GAUGAACGCUGGCGGCGUGCCUAAUACAUGCAAGUCGAGCGAAAGGACGAGAAGCUUGCUUCUCUGAUGUUAGCGGCGGGCGGGUGAGUAACACGUGUAUAAUCUCCCUAUAAGACGGGUAUAACUUCGGAAAACCGGAGCUAAUACCGGAUAAUAUUUUGAACCGCAUGGGUCAAAAGUGAAAGACGGUCUUGCGGUCACGUCUAGAUGCAUCCGCGCUGCAUGAGCUAGUUGGUCAGUUAACGGCUUACCAAGGCUACGAUGCAUUGCCGACGUGAGGGGGUGGUCGCCCGCCCUGGAGCUUGACCGCCGUCAUGACUCCUGCGGGAGGCAGCAGUAGGCAAUCUUCCGCAGUGGGGGAAAGCAUGGCGGAGCAGGGCCGCGUGAGUGAUGGAGGUCUUCCGAUCGUAAAACUCUGUUAUUAGGGAAGAACAUAUGUCUAAGUAACCGUGCACAUCUUGACGGUACCUAGUCAGAAAGCCCCGGCUAACUACGUG